CAUGACGCUAGAGGGAUGCCUUACACAUGCAAGUCGAACCGCAGCGGGCAAGAAAGCUUGCUUUCUUUGCCGGCGAGUGGCGAACGGGUGAGUAAUGUAUCGGAACGUGCCCAGUAGCGGGGGAUAACUGGCCGAAAGGUCAGCUAAUACCGCAUACGCCCUACGGGGGAAAGGGGGGGAUUCUUCGGAACCUCUCACUAUUGGAGCGGCCGAUAUCGGAUUAGCUAGUUGGUGGGGUAAUGGCCUACCAAGGCGACGAUCCGUAGCUGGUUUGAGAGGACGACCAGCCACACUGGGACUGAGACACGGCCCAGACUCCUACGGGAGGCAGCAGUGGGGAAUUUUGGACAAUGGGGGAAACCCUGAUCCAGCCAUCCCGCGUGUGCGAUGAAGGCCUUCGGGUUGUAAAGCACUUUUGUCAGGGAAGAAAAGGUUCUGGCUAAUACCCGGAACUGAUGACGGUACCUGAAGAAUAAGCACCGGCUAACUACGUGCCAGCAGCCGCGGUAAUACGUAGGGUGCAAGCGUUAAUCGGAAUUACUGGGCGUAAAGCGUGCGCAGCGGUUCGGAAAGAAAGAUGUGAAUCCCAGGCUCAACCUUGGAACUGCAUUCUUAACUACCGAACUAAGUAUGUCAGAAGGGGUAG
rnacentral:rRNA from 1 species